UUAAUAUUGUGCAUGUCUCUAUAGGGCUCUCUCUCUUGCUGAAACCCUAGAUCUGGUUCACUAUCGGAGUCUGAAAAUCUCGUUGCUCUGCUCCAAGUUCAAGUUUUUCUUCAGGGACACUGCCAGGUUGGGGCAUGUGGCUAUUAGCGGUGAAAGGGACGUGCGUGUGCAAACAUUGAAGAACAACCCGGGCGAGUGUCAACAAGGGGCGGCAGGAGUUGGACGCGAACGUGCUAGGUGGCCGCAACAUCGUCGUAUAUACCAAGACAAUUCCAAGGUUCUACUUGCGGGAGUUGCUCAGUUUCAAGCUUCUUCAGUGCUUCCACAACAAGAGGAUCAUUGUUGAAAUCUUGAGGAUUUGGUGAUGAAGCAGAUUUCCA